rnacentral:rRNA from 1 species
AUUGAACGCUGGCGGCAUGCCUUACACAUGCAAGUCGAACGGUAACAGGUCUUCGGAUGCUGACGAGUGGCGAACGGGUGAGUAAUACAUCGGAACGUGCCCGAUCGUGGGGGAUAACGAGGCGAAAGCUUUGCUAAUACCGCAUACGAUCUACGGAUGAAAGCGGGGGAUGUUCGGACCUCGCGCGGACGGAGCGGCCGAGGGCAGAUUAGGUAGUUGGUGGGGUAAAGGCUCACCAAGCCGCCGAUCUGUAGCUGGUCUGAGAGGAUGAUCAGCCACACUGGGACUGCGACACGGCCCAGACUCCUACGGGAGGCAGCAGUGGGGAAUUUUGGACAAUGGGGGCAACCCUGAUCCAGCCAUGCCGCGUGCAGGAUGAAGGCCUUCGGGUUGUAAACUGCUUUUGUACGGAACGAAAAGCUCUCCUCUAAUAAAGGGGGGUCAUGACGGUACCGUAAGAAUAAGCACCGGCUAACUACGUGCCAGCAGCCGCCGUAACAC